GCGCAGAGUCGAGAAUCUUCCCAAUGGGCGCAAGCCUGAGGGAGCGACGCCGCGUGGGGGAUGAAGGGUCUUCGGAUCGUAAACCCCUGUUGCCCGGGACGAAGUUCUGACGGUACCGGGUGAGGAAGCUCCGGCUAACUACGUGCCAGCAGCCGCGGUAAUACGUAGGGAGCGAGCGUUGCUCGGAAUUACUGGGGCGUAAAGGGUGUGUAGGUGGACAUGCAAGUCCAGGGUGAAAUCCUUCGGCUCAACCGAAGAACUGGCUCUGGAAACUGCAUGUCUUGAGUGCAGAAGAAGGGAGCGGAAUUCUCGGUGUAGCGGUGGAAAUGCGUGGAUAUCGAGAAGGAACACCAGUGGCGAAGGGCGGC
rnacentral:rRNA from 1 species